rnacentral:rRNA from 1 species
AGCGUACACGGUGGAUGCCCUGGCAGUCAGAGGCGAUGAAGGACGUGCUAAUCUGCGAAAAGCGUCGGUAAGGUGAUAUGAACCGUUAUAACCGGCGAUGUCCGAAUGGGGAAACCCAGUGUAAUUCGUUGCACUAUCGUUAACUGAAUACAUAGGUUAACGAGGCGAACCGGGGGAACUGAAACAUCUAAGUACCCCGAGGAAAAGAAAUCAACCGAGAUUCCCCCAGUAGCGGCGAGCGAACGGGGAGCAGCCCAGAGUCUGAAUCAGCUUGUGUGUUAGUGGAACGGUCUGGAAAGUCCGACGGUACAGGGUGAUAGUCCCGUACACCAAAAUGCACAGGUUGUGAACUCGAAGAGUAGGGCGGGACACGUGGUAUCCUGUCUGAAUAUGGGGGGACCAUCCUCCAAGGCUAAAUACUCCUGACUGACCGAUAGUGAACCAGUACCGUGAGGGAAAGGCGAAAAGAACCCCGGCGAGGGGAGUGAAAAAGAACCUGAAACCGUGUACGUACAAGCAGUGGGAGCACCUUCGGGUGUGACUGCGUACCUUUUGUAUAAUGGGUCAGCGACUUAUAUUCUGUAGCAAGGUUAACCGAAUAGGGGAGCCGAAGGGAAACCGAGUCUUAACUGGGCGUUAAGUUGCAGGGUAUAGACCCGAAACCCGGUGAUCUAGCCAUGGGCAGGUUGAAGGUUGGGUAACACUAACUGGAGGACCGAACCGACUAAUGUUGAAAAAUUAGCGGAUGACUUGUGGCUGGGGGUGAAAGGCCAAUCAAACCGGGAGAUAGCUGGUUCUCCCCGAAAGCUAUUUAGGUAGCGCCUCGUGAACUCAUCUUCGGGGGUAGAGCACUGUUUCGGCUAGGGGGUCAUCCCGACUUACCAACCCGAUGCAAACUACGAAUACCGAAGAAUGUUAUCACGGGAGACACACGGCGGGUGCUAACGUCCGUCGUGAAGAGGGAAACAACCCAGACCGCCAGCUAAGGUCCCAAAGUCAUGGUUAAGUGGGAAACGAUGUGGGAAGGCACAGACAGCCAGGAUGUUGGCUUAGAAGCAGCCAUCAUUUAAAGAAAGCGUAAUAGCUCACUGGUCGAGUCGGCCUGCGCGGAAGAUGUAACGGGGCUAAACCAUGCACCGAAGCUGCGGCAGCGACACUAUGUGUUGUUGGGUAGGGGAGCGUUCUGUAAGCCUGCGAAGGUGUGCUGUGAGGCAUGCUGGAGGUAUCAGAAGUGCGAAUGCUGACAUAAGUAACGAUAAAGCGGGUGAAAAGCCCGCUCGCCGGAAGACCAAGGGUUCCUGUCCAACGUUAAUCGGGGCAGGGUGAGUCGACCCCUAAGGCGAGGCCGAAAGGCGUAGUCGAUGGGAAACAGGUUAAUAUUCCUGUACUUGGUGUUACUGCGAAGGGGGGACGGAGAAGGCUAUGUUAGCCGGGCGACGGUUGUCCCGGUUUAAGCAUGUAGGCUGGUUGUCCAGGCAAAUCCGGAUAAUCAAGGCUGAGGUGUGAUGACGAGGCACUACGGUGCUGAAGUAACAAAUGCCCUGCUUCCAGGAAAAGCCUCUAAGCAUCAGGUAACAUCAAAUCGUACCCCAAACCGACACAGGUGGUCAGGUAGAGAAUACCAAGGCGCUUGAGAGAACUCGGGUGAAGGAACUAGGCAAAAUGGUGCCGUAACUUCGGGAGAAGGCACGCUGAUAUGUAGGUGAAGCGACUUGCUCGUGGAGCUGAAAUCAGUCGAAGAUACCAGCUGGCUGCAACUGUUUAUUAAAAACACAGCACUGUGCAAACACGAAAGUGGACGUAUACGGUGUGACGCCUGCCCGGUGCCGGAAGGUUAAUUGAUGGGGUUAUCCGUAAGGAGAAGCUCUUGAUCGAAGCCCCGGUAAACGGCGGCCGUAACUAUAACGGUCCUAAGGUAGCGAAAUUCCUUGUCGGGUAAGUUCCGACCUGCACGAAUGGCGUAAUGAUGGCCAGGCUGUCUCCACCCGAGACUCAGUGAAAUUGAACUCGCUGUGAAGAUGCAGUGUACCCGCGGCAAGACGGAAAGACCCCGUGAACCUUUACUAUAGCUUGACACUGAACAUUGAGCCUUGAUGUGUAGGAUAGGUGGGAGGCUUAGAAGUGUGGACGCCAGUCUGCAUGGAGCCGACCUUGAAAUACCACCCUUUAAUGUUUGAUGUUCUAACGUUGACCCGUGAUCCGGGUUGCGGACAGUGUCUGGUGGGUAGUUUGACUGGGGCGGUCUCCUCCUAAAGAGUAACGGAGGAGCACGAAGGUUGGCUAAUCCUGGUCGGACAUCAGGAGGUUAGUGCAAUGGCAUAAGCCAGCUUGACUGCGAGCGUGACGGCGCGAGCAGGUGCGAAAGCAGGUCAUAGUGAUCCGGUGGUUCUGAAUGGAAGGGCCAUCGCUCAACGGAUAAAAGGUACUCCGGGGAUAACAGGCUGAUACCGCCCAAGAGUUCAUAUCGACGGCGGUGUUUGGCACCUCGAUGUCGGCUCAUCACAUCCUGGGGCUGAAGUAGGUCCCAAGGGUAUGGCUGUUCGCCAUUUAAAGUGGUACGCGAGCUGGGUUUAGAACGUCGUGAGACAGUUCGGUCCCUAUCUGCCGUGGGCGCUGGAGAACUGAGGGGGGCUGCUCCUAGUACGAGAGGACCGGAGUGGACGCAUCACUGGUGUUCGGGUUGUCAUGCCAAUGGCACUGCCCGGUAGCUAAAUGCGGAAGAGAUAAGUGCUGAAAGCAUCUAAGCACGAAACUUGCCCCGAGAUGAGUUCU